CCUACGGGUGGCAGCAGUGAGGAAUAUUGCUCAAUGGGUGAAACCCUGAAGCAGCAACGCCGCGUGAAGGAUGAAUGUUUUAGGAGUUUGAACUCCUUUUGUUAAAGGAAUUAAUGGCGGUAUCUGACGAAUCAGCACCGUCUAACUCCGUGCCAGCAGCCGCGGUAAUACGGAGGGUGCAAGCGUUACUCGGAAUAACUGGGCGUAAAGAGCUCGUAGAUGGGUUAGUAAGUCAGUUGUGAAAUCUUACGGCUCAACCGUAAAAUUGCAAUUGAAACUGUUAGUCUAGAGUACAGUUGAGGUAGGCGGAAUUCGUGGUGUAGCGGUGAAAUCCGUAGAGAUCACGAGGAACUCUGAUUGCGAAGGCGACUUACUAAACUGUCACUGACAUUGAUGCUCGAAAGUGUGGGUAGCAAACAGGAUUAGAUACCCGAGUAGUC
rnacentral:rRNA from 1 species